UUUUAACUUUAAAAGUAGAAAAUAAGUACAUGAUCCCUUUUCGAAUUCAAAGGUACGUCUAUCUUAACUAAAACUACUGUUUUUAUGGGAUUUUUAGGAAAGUUAAAA
rnacentral:rRNA from 1 species